rnacentral:rRNA from 1 species
GAUGAACGCUGGCGGCGUGCCUAAUACAUGCAAGUCGAGCGAACGGACGAGAAGCUUGCUUCUCUGAUGUUAGCGGCGGACGGGUGAGUAACACGUGGAUAACCUACCUAUAAGACUGGGAUAACUUCGGGAAACCGGAGCCAAUACCGGAUAAUAUUUUGAACCGCAUGGUUCAAAAGUGAAAGACGGUCUUGCUGUCACUUAUAGAUGGAUCCGCGCUGCAUUAGCUAGUUGGUAAGGUAACGGCUUACCAAGGCAACGAUGCAUAGCCGACCUGAGAGGGUGAUCGGCCACACUGGAACUGAGACACGGUCCAGACUCCUACGGGAGGCAGCAGUAGGGAAUAUUCCGCAAUGGGCGAAAGCCUGACGGAGCAACGCCGCGUGAGUGAUGAAGGUCUUCGGAUCGUAAAACUCUGUUAUUAGGGAAGAACAUAUGUGUAAGUAACUGUGCACAUCUUGACGGUACCUAAUCAGAAAGCCACGGCUAACUACGUG